rnacentral:lncRNA from 1 species
AACUAUAAAAACGUGAUACUUUUUACUGACGUGGUGCUGACGUGGCAACCCGUGCAAAACACUACACCACAUGCAAGUGGUGGUAGCCUGACAGGGUGUAAAUAGUUUCACUUUUUUAUAGUUUAGAUGUGUAAUAGGCCACUAGUAUAGUUUAGGUGUGACUUCGACUUUUUGGGUAUAAUUUAAGGUGAAAACGAUGUCUUUUUCCAAUUGCAGGAGGGGAGUGUUUAGUUGGCAAAAUGCAUCAUACUUUUGUAGACGAGCUAAUAUACAUUAAAGAAAGCAGCUUCCUCAUCUUCUCUUCCCCCAACAACUUCACUUUGGAGGAAUUGCAAUCAAAUCCAACCCUUCACCCGCUCG